rnacentral:rRNA from 1 species
CCUACGGGGGGCAGCAGUAGGGAAUCUUUCACAAUGGGCGAAAGCCUGAUGGAGCAACGCCGCGUGCAGGAUGAAGGCCUUCGGGUUGUAAACUGCUUUUAUAAGCGAGAAAUAUGAUGGUAACUUAUGAAUAAGGAUCGACUAACUACGUGCCAGCAGCCGCGGUCAUACGUAGGAUCCGAGCAUUAUCCGGAGUGACUGGGUGUAAAGAGUUGCGUAGGUGGCAUAAUAAGUAGCUAGUGAAAUCUGGUGGCUCAACCAUUCAGACUAUUAGCUAAACUGUUAAGCUCGAGACCGUUAGGGGUAACUGGAAUUUCUAGUGUAGGAGUGAAAUCCGUAGAUAUUAGAAGGAACACCAAUAGCGUAGGCAGGUUGCUGGGACGGUUCUGACACUAAGGCACGAAAGCGUAGGGAGCAAACGGGAUUAGAUACCCGUGUAGUC